AGAGAGGGGACGCGGGCUAUGUAGGGUUUUGGGGGGGGGGGGGAAAGGAUUUCUUUUCACACUAUUCUGAAGAAAGAAACCUGGUGCACUUCUGAAACACGUAAAACAGAGGAGAAAGAGUGAGAGAAACUUUCCCCUUGCACCCUAGCCGUCACCGUCCCAAGCCCCACCACCGUCGACGUGUUCGCACAAGAGGGAGAGGGAGUUCGCGAGCGAGAGGGAGAGAGGAAGGUCACGCGUGGGAGAAGAGGAGAGAAACCAGAACCUUGCUCUUCAAUUUCAUCUUUUCUUCAAGCCUAAGGACAAAGAUGGUCGUGAAGAUAAUGGCGAUGACUCAUUCUUGGGAGUUGAUGCUACGUGACGUGCCAAUACCGGAGGACGACUACACUUCAGAGGAAGAGGAAGAGGCUAAGGAAUAGGGUUUUGGUUGAGAGUCUUUUGUUUUCUGUUGGGGUUGAGAGUUUCCGAAGUGUUGGUAUCGAACAAUUUUAUUGCUUAAAUUCGAAUGAACAAGUUUUGAUGUAAUCUUUAUUUUCA